CCUACGGGGAGCAGCAGUGGGGAAUAUUGGACAAUGGGCGAAAGCCUGAUCCAGCCAUGCCGCGUGUGUGAAGAAGGCCUUCGGGUUGUAAAGCACUUUCAGUGGGGAAGAAAGCCUUGGGGCUAAUACCCUCGAGGAAGGACAUCACCCACAGAAGAAGCACCGGCUAACUCCGUGCCAGCAGCCGCGGUAAUACGGAGGGUGCGAGCGUCAAUCGGAAUUACUGGGCGUAAAGCGCGCGUAGGCGGUCUGAUAAGCCGGUUGUGAAAGCCCCGGGCUCAACCUGGGAACGGCAUCCGGAACUGUCAGGCUAGAGUGCAGGAGAGGAAGGUAGAAUUCCCGGUGUAGCGGUGAAAUGCGUAGAGAUCGGGAGGAAUACCAGUGGCGAAGGCGGCCUUCUGGACUGACACUGACGCUGAGGUGCGAAAGCGUGGGUAGCAAACAGGAUUAGAUACCCCUGUAGUC
rnacentral:rRNA from 1 species